UACCAGCACCCCGAGUGGUCGGGGCGAUUAUUGGGCCUAAAGCAUCCGUAGCCGGUCCUGCAAGUCUUCCGUUAAAUCCAGCUGCUCAACAGAUGGGCUGCGGGAGAUACUACAGGGCUAGGAGGCGGGAGAGGCAAGCGGUACUUUAUGGGUAGGGGUAAAAUCCGCUGAUCCAUAGAAGACCACCAGUGGCGAAGGCGGCUUGCCAGAACGCGCUCGACGGUGAGGGAUGAAAGCUGGGGGAGCAAACCGG
rnacentral:rRNA from 1 species